rnacentral:rRNA from 1 species
AUGAUAGCGGUGAGGUCACACCUGUUCCCAUACCGAACACAGAAGUUAAGCUCACUUGCGCCGAAAGUACUUGCUUGGAAACGAGUCGGGAGAAUAGGUAGUCGCGGGGU